GACGAACGCUGGCGGCGUGCUUAACACAUGCAAGUCGAGCGGAGCGGCGAACGGGUGAGUAACGCGUGAGUAACUGCCCCCCUCUCUGGGAUAACAGUUGGAAACGGCUGCUAAUACCGGAUAGUGGGGGAUGACUCGCGGCGUAUCAGCUUGUUGGGGGAGUAGUGGCCUACCAAGGCGACGACGGUUACCCGGCCUGAGAGGGUGACCGGCCACAUGGGGCUGAGAUACGGCCCAAACGCUUACGGGGGACAUCGGUGGGGAAUAUGGCACAGUAGGGGACAUCCUGAUGCAGCAACGCCACGUGCGGAAUGAGGUUCAUCGGGGUGUAAACCGGUUUAAGCCAUGACGCGGUAGUGACAGAAGAAGCACCGGCUAACUACGUGCCAGCAGCCGCGGUAAUAC
rnacentral:rRNA from 1 species